CCUACGGGAGGCAGCAGUGGGGAAUAUUGCGCAAUGGGCGAAAGCCUGACGCAGCGACGCCGCGUGAGGGAUGAAGGUCUUCGGAUCGUAAACCUCUGUCAGCAGGGAAGAACGGUCACUGUGCUAAUCAGCAGGGAAUUGACGGUACCUGCAAAGGAAGCACCGGCUAACUCCGUGACAGCAGCCGCGGUAAUACGGAGGGUGCGAGCGUUAACCGGAAUUACUGGGCGUCAAGCGCUCGUAGGCGGUAUGUCAAGCACAGGGUGCAAUCCCCGCGCUCAACGUAGGAACUGCAUUUGAAACUGGCAAACUUGAGGGUGUGAGAGGAUAGUGGAAUUCCGGGUGGAGGAGUGAAAUCCGUAGAUAUCUGGAGGAACAUCAGUGGCGAAGGCGACUAUCUGGCACAUAACUGACGCUGAGGAGCGAAAGCGUGGGUAGCAAACAGGAUUAGAUACCCGAGUAGUC
rnacentral:rRNA from 1 species